GCCAAAGUAGCUCAGUCGGUAGAGCGACGCUCUCGUAAAGCGUAGGUCUGGGGUCCGAUUCCCCACUUUGGCU
rnacentral:tRNA from 1 species